GAUGAACGCUAGCGGGAGGCCUAACACAUGCAAGCCGAGCGGUAGAGUUUCUUCGGAAACUUGAGAGCGGCGCACGGGUGCGUAACACGUGUGCAACCUACCUUUAUCUGGGGGAUAGCCUUUCGAAAGGAAGAUUAAUACCCCAUAAUAUAAUGAUUGGCAUCAAUUAUUAUUGAAAACUCCGGUGGAUAGAGAUGGGCACGCGCAAGAUUAGAUAGUUGGUGAGGUAACGGCUCACCAAGUCAAUGAUCUUUAGGGGUCCUGAGAGGGUGAUCCCCCACACUGGUACUGAGACACGGACCAGACUCCUACGGGAGGCAGCAGUGAGGAAUAUUGGACAAUGGGUGAGAGCCUGAUCCAGCCAUCCCGCGUGAAGGAUGACGGUCCUAUGGAUUGUAAACUUCUUUUGUACAGGGAUAAACCUACCCUCGUGAGGGUAGCUGAAGGUACUGUACGAAUAAGCACCGGCUAACUCCGUG
rnacentral:rRNA from 1 species